UUUCCGUAGGUGAACCUGCGGAAGGAUCAUUCAUAAUAAUUGUUUUAUGGCACUUUUUUCAAUCCAUAUCCACCUUGUGUGCAAUGUCAGAGUUGAUUUUUCGCUCGACAGGAUCAGCCCCAAACAUCAACUAUAUCUCAACUCUUUGUCUGAAAAAUAUUAUGAAUAAAACAAUUCAAAAUACAACUUUCAACAACGGAUCUCUUGGCUCUC
rnacentral:misc_RNA from 1 species